rnacentral:rRNA from 1 species
AGAUUGAACGCUGGCGGCAGGCCUAACACAUGCAAGUCGAGCGGCAGCACGGGUACUUGUACCUGGUGGCGAGCGGCGGACGGGUGAGUAAUGCCUAGGAAUCUGCCUGGUAGUGGGGGAUAACGCUCGGAACCGGACGCUAAUACCGCAUACGUCCUACGGGAGAAAGCAGGGGACCUUCGGGCCUUGCGCUAUCAGAUGAGCCUAGGUCGGAUUAGCUAGUUGGUGAGGUAAUGGCUCACCAAGGCGACGAU